rnacentral:rRNA from 1 species
GGGGAAUAUUGGACAAUGGGCGAAAGCCUGAUCCAGCCAUGCCGCGUGAGUGAUGAAGGCCCUAGGGUUGUAAAGCUCUUUCACCGGGGAAGAUAAUGACGGUACCCGGAGAAGAAGCCCCGGCUAACUUCGUGCCAGCAGCCGCGGUAAUACGAAGGGGGCUAGCGUUGUUCGGAAUUACUGGGCGUAAAGCGCACGUAGGCGGACUGGUCAGUUAGGGGUGAAAUCCCAGGGCUCAACCCUGGAACUGCCUUUAAUACUGCCAGUCUAGAGUUCGAGAGAGGUGAGUGGAAUUCCGAGUGUAGAGGUGAAAUUCGUAGAUAUUCGGAGGAACACCAGUGGCGAAGGCGGCUCACUGGCUCGAUACUGACGCUGAGGUGCGAAAGCGUGGGGAGCAAAC